rnacentral:snRNA from 1 species
CAUUCAGCAGCAUAAUAUACUAAAAUUAGACUGGUACAGAGAAGAUUAGCAUGGACCCUACACACAGAUAACACACAAAUUCAUUAAGUGUUUCAUUAAAAA